CGGGAGGCAGCAGUGGGGAAUAUUGGACAAUGGGCGCAAGCCUGAUCCAGCCAUGCCGCGUGAGUGAUGAAGGCCUUAGGGUCGUAAAGCUCUUUCACCGGAGAAGAUAAUGACGGUAUCCGGAGAAGAAGCCCCGGCUAACUUCGUGCCAGCAGCCGCGGUAAUACGG
rnacentral:rRNA from 1 species